UACGGAGGGUGCAAGCGUUAAUCGGAAUUACUGGGCGUAAAGCGUGCGUAGGUGGUUCGUUAAGUCCGUUGUGAAAGCCCCGAGCUCAACUUGGGAAUUGCAGUGGAUACUGGCGAGCUGGAGUGCGGUAGAGGAAGGUGGAAUUCCCGGUGUAGCGGUGAAAUGCGUAGAGAUCGGGAGGAACACCAGUGGCGAAGGCGGGUCUCUGGGCCGUAACUGACGCUGAGGAGCGAAAGCGUGGGGAGCGAACAGG
rnacentral:rRNA from 1 species